UCUCUGACAGUCCAGUGUUUAAAACUCUGUGCUCCCAGUGCAGAGAACCCAGGUUCAAUUCCUGGUCAGGGAA
rnacentral:tRNA from 1 species